AAACGACUCUUGGCAACGGAUAUCCCGGCUCUCGCAUCGAUGAAGAACGUAGCGAAAUGCGAUACUUGGUGUGAAUUGCAGAAUCCCGUGAACCAUCGAGUCUUUGAACGCAAGUUGCGCCCGAAGCCACUAGGCCGAGGGCACGUCUGCCUGGGUGUCACGC
rnacentral:rRNA from 1 species